rnacentral:rRNA from 1 species
UACAUUAGCAUGGGAUAAUGGAAUAGGACCCUGUCCUCCUAUUUUCAGUUGGUUUUGGCAGCGCGAGGACUAGGGUAAUGAUUAAUAGGGAUAGUUGGGGGCAUUAAUAUUUAAUUGUCAGAGGUGAAAUUCUUGGAUUUAUGAAAGAUUAACUUCUGCGAAAGCAUCUGCCAAGGAUGUUUUCAUUAAUCAAGAACGAAAGUUAGGGGAUCGAAGACGAUCAGAUACCGUCGUAGUCUUAACCAUAAACGAUGCCGACCAGCGAUUAGGAGACGUUGAAUACAAAACACCACCAUCGGUGCGGUCGUCCUUGGCGUCGGUCUUUCGGGGCCGGCGCGGGGACGGCUUAGCCCGGUGGCACCGGUGAAUGACUCCCU